AUUGAACGCUGGCGGAAUGCUUUACACAUGCAUGUCGAACGGCAGCACGGACUUCGGUCUGGUGGCGAGUGGCGAACGGGUGAGUAAUGUAUCGGAACGUGCCCAGUCGUGGGGGAUAACGUAGUGAAAAUUACGCUAAUACCGCAUACGAUCUAUGGAUGAAAGCGGGGGAUCGCAAGACCUCGCGCGAUUGGAGCGGCCGAUAUCAGAUUAGGUAGUUGGUUGGGUAAAGGCCCACCAAGCCAACGAUCUGUAGCUGGUCUGAGAGGACGACCAGCCACACUGGAACUGAGACACGGUCCAGACUCCUACGGGAGGCAGCAGUGGGGAAUUUUGGACAAUGGGCGAAAGCCUGAUCCAGCCAUUCCGCGUGCAGGAUGAAGGCCCUCGGGUUGUAAACUGCUUUUGUACAGAACGAAAAGGUUUCUACUAAUACUAGGAGCUCAUGACGGUACUGUAAGAAUAAGCACCGGCUAACUACGUGCCAGCCGCCGCGGUAA
rnacentral:rRNA from 1 species